rnacentral:rRNA from 1 species
UCGCAAGAACCUUUCGCUUUCGGAGUGGCCGAUAUCGGAUUAGCUAGUUGGUGAGGUAAAGGCUCACCAAGGCGACGAUCCGUAGCUGGUCUGAGAGGACGACCAGCCACACUGGAACUGAGACACGGUCCAGACUCCUACGGGAGGCAGCAGUGGGGAACUUUGGACAAUGGGGGCUACCCUGAUCCAGCCAUGCCGCGUGAGUGAAGAAGGCCUUCGGGUUGUAAAGCUCUUUCAGACGGAAAGAAACGGUUACAGAUAAUACCUGUGACUAAUGACGGUACCGUCAGAAGAAGCACCGGCUAACUACGUGCCAGCAGCCGCGGUAAUACGUAGGGUGCGAGCGUUAAUCGGAAUUACUGGGCGUAAAGCGUGCGCAGGCGGUUUUGUAAGACAGACGUGAAAUCCCCGGGCUUAACCUGGGAACUGCGUUUGUGACUGCAAGGCUAGAGUGUAGCAGAGGGGGGUAGAAUUCCACGUGUAGCAGUGAAAUGCGUAGAUAUGUGGAGGAAUACCGAUGGCGAAGGCAGCCCCCUGGGCUAACACUGACGCUCAUGCACGAAAGCGUGGGGAGCAAACAGGAUUAGAUACCCUGGUAGUCCACGCCCUAAACGAUGUCAACUAGGUGUUGGGGAAGGAGACUUCUUUAGUACCGCAGCUAACGCGAUAAGUUGACCGCCUGGGGAGUACGGUCGCAAGAUUAAAACUCAAAGGAAUUGACGG